rnacentral:rRNA from 1 species
GUGUCAGCAGCCGCGGUAAUACGUAGGGUGCGAGCGUUAAUCGGAAUUACUGGGCGUAAAGCGUGCGCAGGCGGCUUUUUAAGCCAGAUGUGAAAUCCCCGGGCUUAACCUGGGAACUGCAUUUGGAACUGGAAGGCUAGAGUGCGGCAGAGGGGGGUAGAAUUCCACGUGUAGCAGUGAAAUGCGUAGAGAUGUGGAGGAAUACCGAUGGCGAAGGCAGCCCCCUGGGUCGACACUGACGCUCAUGCACGAAAGCGUGGGGAGCAAACAGGAUUAGAUACCCUGGUAGUCCACGCCCUAAACGAUGUCAACUAGUUGUUGGAGGAGUGAAAUCCUUUAGUAACGAAGCUAACGCGUGAAGUUGACCGCCUGGGGAGUACGGUCGCAAGAUUAAA